CAUUUAAUCAUAAAAAUAGUUCUAUGAAUAUGGAUUAUUAUUUUCAUUAUUACUGACAUUCUACAGAUGAGGAAACAGAGAAGGUUAAAGCUAUUAAAGGAGUAGAAACAGUAAUCCAUGGCACUCAGCAAUGGAUUAGUUGAUUACAACCUGUCACCUGGAAAUGAAGGGCCACACUGCGUGGCAGCUACAGUGGACCAUUAUGGAAGCACAGGAAUAAAAGGGAUGUAGAUGUGGGCUGCCUACAAUGAGUAACUUCAAGAAAGAACAUGACUUACUCAAGAUAUUGUCAAGAAGCUAAGGAAUUUCUGAUAUCCUGAAAAGAAACUCCAAUCACUUAUAACUACAGAGCUGAUAUGGCCCGAUAUCACACACAGGUGGCUGAAUUACAAGGCAGUACAGUGAUACUCAAAAUGCGGUCCCUGGAUCAGCAGCAGCAGCAGCAACUGGGAACUUUGAAAAGGAAAUUCUUGGGCCUUAUUCUAGAACUACAAAAACAGAAAAUGUGGACGUGAGACCCAGAAAUCUAUGGCUUAAGAAGCCCUCCACAUGAUUCUGAUGCAUGCUAACUUUUGAGAACCAUUAAAGGUUCCCAAUACUCCAUCACAAUCACCUACAGAUCUCUUUCGUAAAGGAGCAAAACAAUUACCAUGGCAACAUUUGGAAGAAUUUAGAUGGCUCCAAGCACUCUAUAACUUUCCUGGUGGCUCAGACGGUAAAGCGUCUCCCUGCAAUGCGGGAGACUUGGGUUUGAUUCCUGGGUCGGGAAGAUCCCCUGGAGAAGGAAAUGGCAAUCCACUCCAGCACUCUUGCCUGGAAAAUCCCAUGGACAGAGCAGCCUGAUAGGCUACAGUCCAUGGGGUCGCAAAGAGUCGGACACAACUGAGUGACUUCACUUUCACUUUCAAGCACUCUAAAUGGAGGCUUCUCUGGUGGCUCAGAUGGUAAAGAAUCUGGCUGCAAUGCAGGAGACUCAGGUUCAAUCCCUGGGUCAGGAAGAUCCCCUGGAGAAGCGAAUGGCUACCACACCAGUAUUCUUGCUGGAGAAUUCCAUGAACAGAGGAGGCUGGAGGACUACAGUCCAUGGGGUUGUAGAGUCACCCACUACUGAGCAACUAAGUACUGAAC
ensembl:lncRNA